GACGAACGCUGGCGGCGUGCUUAACACAUGCAAGUCGAACGGUAAGGCCCUUCGGGGUACACGAGUGGCGAACGGGUGAGUAACACGUGGGUGAUCUGCCCUGCACUUCGGGAUAAGCCUGGGAAACUGGGUCUAAUACCGGAUAGGACCACUGCCUGCAUGGGUGGUGGUGGAAAGCUUUUGCGGUGUGGGAUGGGCCCGCGGCCUAUCAGCUUGUUGGUGGGGUGAUGGCCUACCAAGGCGACGACGGGUAGCCGGCCUGAGAGGGUGACCGGCCACACUGGGACUGAGAUACGGCCCAGACUCCUACGGGAGGCNNCAGUGGGGAAUAUUGCACAAUGGGCGCAAGCCUGAUGCAGCGACGCCGCGUGAGGGAUGACGGCCUUCGGGUUGUAAACCUCUUUCAGCACCGACGAAGCGCAAGUGACGGUAGGUGCAGAAGAAGGACCGGCCAACUACGUGCCAGCCGCCGCAGUAA
rnacentral:rRNA from 1 species